rnacentral:rRNA from 1 species
UAAAAAAUUUUGGCGGUAUUUUAAGCUUAUUAGAGGAAUUUGCUCUGUGAUGGACACAACGCCUUAAUCUUACUUAAUUUAGUAAUUUAAAUCAGUUUGUAUACCACUAUAUUAAUUAUAUUGAAUAGUUAUGUUUAAAAUUUUUUUAAAAAAAUAUAUUAAGUCAAGGUGCAUCUAAUAAUUAUGAAUGAAGUGAAUUACAUUAAUUUUAAUGUAAUUUUUUAUAUGAAAAAAUUAAUUAGGAUUUAAUAGUAAAAUACUAAUAUUAUGAGUAUUUGAAUCAAGCUCUAAAAUAUGCACAUAUCGCCCGUCGCUCUCAUAAGUGAGAUAAGUCGUAACAAAGUAAAAAUACUGGAAAGUGUUUUUUAAAAUGAAAUCAUUCGAUGUUUCAUUUACAAUGAAAAUUUUGUUGUUUAACCAUUUUAA